CCUACGGGUGGCUGCAGUGAGGAAUAUUGGUCAAUGGGCGGGAGCCUGAACCAGCCAAGUCGCGUGAGGGAAGAAGGUACAGCGUAUCGUACACCUCUUUUGUCAGGGAACAAAGGCGGGGACUAGUCCCCGGAUGAUGGUACCUUAAGACUAAGCAUCGGCUACCUCCGUGCCAGCAGCCGCGGUAAUACGGGGGAUGCGAGCGUUAUCCGGAUUUAUUGGGUUUACGGGGUGCGAAGGCGGCCUUUUAAGUCAGCGGUAAAAGCCCGGGGUUCAACCCCGGCGUGCCGUUGAAACUGGCGGGCUGGAGUAGGAGGGAAGGAGGCGGAAUGAGGGGUGUAGCGGUGAAAUGCUUAGAUAGCGCGCAGAACCCCGAUUGCGAAGGCAGCGUACCGGCUCCAGACUGACGCGGAGGCACGAAAGCGUGGGUAUCGAACAGGAUUAGAUACCCGGGUAGUC
rnacentral:rRNA from 1 species